GGGUGAAAGGCCAAUCAAACCGGGAGAUAGCUGGUUCUCCCCGAAAGCUAUUUAGGUAGCGCCUCGUGAAUUCAUCUCCGGGGGUAGAGCACUGUUUCGGCAAGGGGGUCAUCCCGACUUACCAACCCGAUGCAAACUGCGAAUACCGGAGAAUGUUAUCACGGGAGACACACGGCGGGUGCUAACGUCCGUCGUGAAGAGGGAAACAACCCAGACCGCCAGCUAAGGUCCCAAAGUCAUGGUUAAGUGGGAAACGAUGUGGGAAGGCCCAGACAGCCAGGAUGUUGGCUUAGAAGCAGCCAUCAUUUAAAGAAAGCGUAAUAGCUCACUGGUCGAGUCGGCCUGCGCGGAAGAUGUAACGGGGCUAAACCAUG
rnacentral:rRNA from 1 species